UACGUAGGGCGCAAGCGUUGUCCGGAAUUAUUGGGCGUAAAGAGCGCGCAGGCGGUCGGAUAAGUCGAAUGUGAAAGCCCCCGGCUCAACUGGGGAGGGUCAUUCGAUACUGUUCGACUCGAAGGCAGGAGAGGGAAGUGGAAUUCCCGGUGUAGUGGUGAAAUGCGUAGAGAUGUGGAGGAACACCGAUGGCGAAGGCAGCCCCCUGGGUCAAGAUUGACGCUCAUGCACGAAAGCGUGGGGAGCAAACAGG
rnacentral:rRNA from 1 species